rnacentral:lncRNA from 1 species
CAAUUUAUCAAAAACUAAAGAAAAUUACAAAGCAAAUUAGGUUUAAAUAGUAAAAAUAGAACCCUAACUAGAAUGGGCUUGGACCGAUACAAGCCAAAUUACAUAAAUAAGAAUCUAAAACAAAAAUAAAGUCUAACUAGAAAUAAAUAAAAUAGAUAAUGUCCUCCUCAACUCUCUCGGGGUGGGAGAAAAACUCGACCCUGUCGAGUUGAUAAAUCACUGUAGGCUGCAAUAAAUCUGAAACUUCAAAUGCUUCAAGUCAAACCACGGGGGACGAUAUUUCCGACAAAUUGAGUACCGAAAUUCCAUGAAUUAUAGUACUAAAAACUGUAGCUUAUUCCCAAGAACAUGAUCUGGCCAAGAGGGCGGUCUUUCCUUCUAACCAAACACUGAUACAAGACUCCAAAUAACCAAUACUCGUGCACCUCAUCGUCAAAAUUUUCACAUAAUUGUAC